GACGAACGCUGGCGGCGUGCUUAACACAUGCAAGUCGAACGGAAAGGCCCUUCGGGGUACUCGAGUGGCGAACGGGUGAGUAACACGUGGGCGAUCUGCCCUGCACUUUGGGAUAAGCCUGGGAAACUGGGUCUAAUACCGAAUAGGACCACGCGCUUCAUGGUGAGUGGUGGAAAGCUUUUGCGGUGUGGGUUGGGCCCGCGGCCUAUCAGCUUGUUGGUGGGGUAAUGGCCUACCAAGGCGACGACGGGUAGCCGGCCUGAGAGGGUGACCGGCCACACUGGGACUGGGAUACGGCCCAGACUCCUACGGGAGGCAGCAGUGGGGAAUAUUGCACAAUGGGCGCAAGCCUGAUGCAGCGACGCCGCGUGGGGGAUGACGGCCUUCGGGUUGUAAACCUCUUUCAAUAGGGACGAAGCGCAAGUGACGGUACCUAUAGAAGAAGCACCGGCCAACUACGUG
rnacentral:rRNA from 1 species